UGUUAUGGCGGGCCGUGUGGCGCGGGCCUCUCAGCUUCCAUGUUGAUCGAGAAUGUUCCGACUUCGAACGCCGCACGGUCCGCCACCCCA
rnacentral:misc_RNA from 1 species